AGCCAGUUGAUGAAGCUUUCUCUUGCAUCGAUACCAAAGAAGAGAUAAAGAAAAAGGAACAUGUCUCCAUAUGAGAACUAAACAAAUUCAUUCCAACUCCGAUGAGCAGAUACAAGAAGCAGAAUUCAUUUGCAAGGCUCGGGUUGUUGAGGUUCUCUGACAGAAUGGUUGGUCUUUUGUUUCAUGCACUGGCUGCAGCAGAAAUCUAGACAAAUCAGGCACUUCUCUAUGUUGCAACCUUUGUGUUAAUGCCCAACGUCACCGGUGUUAUAAAGUGAGAAUUUUAUAAAGUUUUGUAUCGGAAUCAUUGUUUAUUGGAGACCAUUUUUUCUCCAUUGUUCUCGCUAAUAAAAACGUUUAAACAUGUUGAAUUAUCAGUUGAUGAUGGCAAUGACAAUGCUACUUUUGUGGUCUUCGACGGAGAGAUGCCUAAACUCACUAAGAAAGAUGCCGCUACUCUUACUGUCGAUGAGAUAAAUGGUGGUGGGGGCGAGCAGCUCCUGCAGUGUCUAGAAGAACUUGGUGGAAAAAAAUUGUGUUCUAGAUCCGUGUUACCCCGUUCAAUUUCACCCAAAACCACCGCACAUUCACUGUUUCUGGAAUAAGUGACCACAUCGAACCUGAGACUUUCAACACCAAUGAAGCUUCAAUUGUUGGUGUGGAGAGUGGCCAAGCAUCUGCUUCUGCCAGUACUUUUUUUGAAGUGAAUGUAUGAUCCAAAUCCAACCAGUGCUAAAGGGAAGGAUGGUAGCCGCAAAC